rnacentral:rRNA from 1 species
AGAUUGAACGCUAGCGGGAUGCUUUACACAUGCAAGUCGAACGGCAGCGCGGACUUCGGUCUGGCGGCGGGUGGCGAACGGGUGAGUAAUAUAUCGGAACGUGCCCAGUAGCGGGGGAUAACUACGCGAAAGCGUGGCUAAUACCGCAUACGCCCUACGGGGGAAAGGGGGGAUUCUUCGGAACCUCUCACUAUUGGAGCGGCCGAUAUCAGAUUAGCUAGUUGGUGAGGUAAAGGCUCACCAAGGCGACGAUCUGUAGCUGGUUUGAGAGGACGACCAGCCACACUGGAACUGAGACACGGUCCAGACUCCUACGGGAGGCAGCAGUGGGGAAUAUUGGACAAUGGGCAAAGCCUGAUCCAGCCAUGCCGCGUGUGUGAAGAAGGUCUUCGGAUUGUAAAGCACUUUAAGUUGGAGGAAGGUUGUAACCUAAUACGUUGCUAACUUUGACGUUACGACAGAAUAAGCACCGGCUAACUUCGACUACCAGCAGCCGC